rnacentral:rRNA from 1 species
GUUCCUACGGGGGGCAGCAGUAGGGAAUAUUGCUCAAUGGGGGAAACCCUGAAGCAGCAACGCCGCGUGAGGGAUGAAGGUCUUCGGAUCGUAAACCUCUGUCAGGAGGGAAGAAGUGGUUAUAUGCGAAUAGUGUAUGACUUUGACGGUACCUCCAAAGGAAGCACCGGCUAACUCCGUGCCAGCAGCCGCGGUAAUACGGAGGGUGCGAGCGUUAAUCGGAAUCACUGGGCGUAAAGUGCGCGUAGGCGGCUUUUCAAGUCAGGGGUGAAAUCCCACGGCCCAACCGUGGAACUGCCUUUGAA